rnacentral:lncRNA from 1 species
AGAUGGGGAAACCACAGCACAGAAUAAGGCUGGGCCCUUGAAUCAAUAAAUGAAGGAGAACUACUCAAGAGAACAAAACCACCAGCAAUAUCCACCUGUAUUUGUCUUUUCAUAAUGUGUGACACAUGUGCUCAUGGAUUAUUGUCCGAAGCAAGACAUGUGACCAAGCCUAACAUCAACUGGGUGAAGAGCUAUAUGUUCCUUUCUCAAGAGGCACUACAAGUGACAUGCCACUGGGCAGAUGGAGUCUCGCUCUGUCACCCAGGCUAGAGUGCAGUACCGCAAUCUCGGCUCGCUGCAAGCUCUGACUCCCAGGUUCACACCAUUCUCCUGCCUCAGCCUCCCAAGUAGCUGGCACUACAGGCGCCCACCACCAUGCCUGGCUAAUUUUUUAUAUUUUUAGUAGAGAAGGGGUUUCGCCGUGUUAGCCAGAAUGGUCUUGAUCUCCUGACCUCAUGAUCUGCCCACCUCGGCCUCCCAAAGUGCUGGGAUUACAGGCGUGAGCCACCGCGACUGGCCUAACAUAUUUUUAAAACCUGCAGAAUGUUUGUAUUACUUUUGUCAUAGUACAUAACAUUUAAAUGGAUUUCUUGUUUGUGUAUGUGUGUAUAUUCAUUCACAACACUGAUAGUUUUUCUGAAUAUUUCCUUUGGAUUUUAUUCUUUUCUCAUUCAACUAAAUAAGAACCUGCACCAUCUUUUUCUAGUGUAAAAAUUACAAUAUCUGAAGUGAAACUACUAGAAU